CAAAAAGAAACUUCCCAUGCCGGGAAUCGAACCCGGGCCGCGUGGGUGAAAACCACGAAUCCUAACCACUAGACCACAUGGGAUCCG
ensembl:ncRNA Y39B6A.81 ncRNA